rnacentral:tRNA from 1 species
GGAUGAUUGACGUAACGGUAUCGUAGCGGUUUGCUAAACCGUCCGAGAGCAAUCUCGUGCAAGUUCGACCCUUGCAUCAUCCGCCA